rnacentral:lncRNA from 1 species
UGGGUAUUUUGGACUUGAGAUUUGGGCUACAAUUUUUUUUUUUUUUUUGAGUUUUGGCAAUAAUGAAUAUAUUAUUUGGGUUUGGGCUUACUAUACUAUAAUUUUGUUUUGAAAUAAAUAUUUUAGAAUAUGAGUAUUAGGUAAAUUUAAUAAGAAAGAUAAAAAAAAGUACUCAAUUAUCAAUAUAAUAUAAUCAUGAACAAUAAAAUAUAUUUUCAUUAAUUCAUAUAAUAUCAUAGAAUAAUCAAU